rnacentral:rRNA from 1 species
GACGAACGCUGGCGGCGUGCCUAACACAUGCAAGUCGAACGGUAACAGGUCUUCGGAUGCUGACGAGUGGCGAACGGGUGAGUAAUGCAUCGGAACGUGCCCAGUAGUGGGGGAUAGCCCGGCGAAAGCCGGAUUAAUACCGCAUACGACCUGAGGGUGAAAGGGGGGGAUCGCAAGACCUCUCGCUAUUGGCGCGGCCGAUGUCAGAUUAGCUAGUUGGUGGGGUAAAGGCCUACCAAGGCAACGAUCUGUAGUUGGUCUGAGAGGACGACCAGCCACACUGGGACUGAGACACGGCCCAGACUCCUACGGGAGGCAGCAGUGGGGAAUUUUGGACAAUGGGCGCAAGCCUGAUCCAGCAAUGCCGCGUGCAGGAAGAAGGCCUUCGGGUUGUAAACUGCUUUUGUCAGGGAAGAAAUCUUCUGGGUUAAUACCUCGGGAGGAUGACGGUACCUGAAGAAUAAGCACCGGCUAACUACGUGCCAGCAGCCGCCGUAA